rnacentral:rRNA from 1 species
ACCCCGGGAGGGGAGUGAAAGAGAACCUGAAACCCUGUGUCUACAAGCUGUGGGACCUCUUUAUAUGAGGGACUGCGUACUUUUUGUAGAACGGUCCGGCGAGUUGUGCGUACUGGCGAGGUUAAGGACUUAAGGUCUGGAGCCGAAGUGAAAGCAAGCGUUAAUAGCGCGUCAAGUCAGUGAGUGCAGACCCGAAACCGGGUGACCUAUCCAUGUCCAGGUUGAAGCUUCCGUAAGAGGAAGUGGAGGACCGAACCCACAUCCGUUGAAAAGGGUGGGGAUGAGGUGUGGAUAGCGGAGAAAUUCCAAUCGAACCCGGAGAUAGCUGGUUCUCCUCGAAAUAGCUUUAGGGCUAGCCUCAUGAGAGUCUUAUGGAGGUAGAGCACUGAAUUGCCUAGGGGGCGUCAAAGCUUACCAAAGCAUAUCAAACUCCGAAUGCCAUCAAGAUGAUUCAUGGGAGUCAGACCAUACGAGAUAAGUUGGAUGGUCAAAAGGGAAAGAGCCCAGACCUACAGCUAAGGUCCCAAAGUGCGUGUUAAGUGGAAAAGGAUGUGGGGAUUCUAAGACAACUAGGACGUUGGCUUAGAAGCAGCCAUUCAUUGAAAGAGUGCGUAAUAGCUCACUAGUCGAGAGUCCCUGCGCCGAAAAUGUCCGGGGCUGAAACACGACACCGAAGCUUAGGAAUGUGUAAACAUUGGUAGAGGAGCAUUGCUAGCGGGAUGAAGCCAUACCGUAAGGAGUGGUGGACUGCUAGGAAGAGAGAAUGCCGGAAUGAGUAGCGAGAUGAAGGUGAGAAUCCUUCAGGCCGAAUAUCUAAGGUUUCCAGAGUAAAGCUGAUCUGCUCUGGGUAAGUCGGGACCUAAGGCGAGGUCGAAAGACGUAGUCGAUGGAUAACAGGUUGAAAUUCCUGUACCGCAUAUAAACAGAACUGUGGGGACACAGACAGGGAAUGGAAUCCGGGAAUGGAUAUCCCGGUGCAAGCGAGGUAGGAGUGCUGUUGGCAAAUCCGCAGCACGAUCUGAAGACGUGACGCGUACCGAACAUAAGUAGGGAAGUCCAGGCCCCUGGCUGUCAAGAAAAGCCGCUAUUGUUUUAUAUGUGCCCGUACCGCAAACCGACACAGGUGGAUGAGGAGAGAAUCCUAAGGCCGACGGGAGAAGUAUUGUUAAGGAACUCGGCAAAAUGACUCCGUAACUUCGGGAGAAGGAGUGCCAUGAGAGUGGCCGCAGAGAAAUGGCCCAAGCAACUGUUUAGCAAAAACACAGGUCUAUGCAAAACCGCAAGGUGAAGUAUAUGGGCUGACGCCUGCCCGGUGCUGGAAGGUUAAGGGGAGAGGUUAGCGCAAGCGAAGCUUUGAACUUAAGCCCCAGUAAACGGCGGCCGUAACUAUAACGGUCCUAAGGUAGCGAAAUUCCUUGUCGGGUAAGUUCCGACCCGCACGAAAGGCGUAAUGAUUUGGGCACUGUCUCAACGAUACACCCGGUGAAAUUGAAAUACCAGUGAAGAUGCUGGUUACCUGCGCCAGGACGGAAAGACCCCAUGGAGCUUUACUCCAGUUUGAUACUGGGAUUCGGCAUGGUAUGUACAGGAUAGGUGGGAGACUGAGAAGGUAUGACGUCAGUUGUACCGGAGUCGCUGUUGGGAUACCACCCUUACCAUGUUGGAUUUCUAACCUGUGGCCGUAAGCCGGUCAGGGGACAAUGUCAGGCGGGGAGUUUGACUGGGGCGGUCGCCUCCGAAAGGGUAUCGGAGGCGCUCAAAGGUUCCCUCAGAAUGGUUGGAAACCAUUCGAAGAGUGCAAAGGCAGAAGGGAGCUUGACUGCGACACCGACGGGUGGAGCAGGU